UACGGAGGGUGCAAGCGUUAUCCGGAUUCACUGGGUUUAAAGGGUGCGUAGGUGGGCAAGUAAGUCAGUGGUGAAAUCUCCGGGCUUAACCCGGAAACUGCCAUUGAUACUAUUUGUCUUGAAUACUGUGGAGGUCAGCGGAAUAUGUCAUGUAGCGGUGAAAUGCUUAGAUAUGACAUAGAACACCAAUUGCGAAGGCAGCUGGCUACACAAAUAUUGACACUGAGGCACGGAAGCGUGGGGAUCAAACAGG
rnacentral:rRNA from 1 species